GAUGAACGCUGGCGGCGUGCCUAAUACAUGCAAGUCGAGCGAACAGACGAGGAGCUUGCUCCUCUGACGUUAGCGGCGGACGGGUGAGUAACACGUGGAUAACCUACCUAUAAGACUGGGAUAACUUCGGGAAACCGGAGCUAAUACCGGAUAAUAUAUCGAACCGCAUGGUUCAAUAGUGAAAGACGGUUUUGCUGUCACUUAUAGAUGGAUCCGCGCCGCAUUAGCUAGUUGGUAAGGUAACGGCUUACCAAGGCAACGAUGCGUAGCCGACCUGGGAGGGUGAUCGGCCACACUGGAACUGAGACACGGUCCAGACUCCUACGGGAGGCAGCAGUAGGGAAUCUUCCGCAAUGGGCGAAAGCCUGACGGAGCAACGCCGCGUGAGUGAUGAAGGUCUUCGGAUCGUAAAACUCUGUUAUUAGGGAAGAACAAAUGUGUAAGUAACUAUGCACGUCUUGACGGUACCUAAUCAGAAAGCCACGGCUAACUACGUG
rnacentral:rRNA from 1 species